rnacentral:rRNA from 1 species
CUGCUGCCUCCCGUAGGAGUUUGGGCCGUGUCUCAGUCCCAAUGUGGCCGGCCACCCUCUCAGGUCGGCUACUGAUCGUCGCCUUGGUGGGCCGUUACCCCGCCAACCAGCUAAUCAGACGCGGAUCCAUCUCAUACCGCCGGAGCUUUUCACCCGGAAGCAUGCGCUCCCGUGUGCUUAUGCGGUAUUAGCAGUCAUUUCUAACUGUUAUCCCCCUGUAUGAGGCAGGUUAUCCACGCGUUACUCACCCGUCCCG